ACACUGCUAUAGAUGAGUGUAAGUCAUGAAAACAAACAAAUCUAUGUAAAGUAACUAAACAUAAGUUAUCUAUUUUAUUUGUCCAUUUGCAAUAUUGAUAAUUUAAGGAACAUUUGUGUUGGAUAAAAAGUGAGUUACAUCAGUUAUUAACUCAACAUUUAAAUGCAGUAUAUCACAGAUAUAUGACAGAGGAGACUGACACUUGUCUGGAUGUUACAGGGACAGAUGAGACACGCGUGUUUAUCUGCUGCAGAGACACUGAUGAAGGAAUGCUGCCAUCAAAGGAUUUGUAUCUUUUGUGGUGGAGCAGGACCUGCAAGGAAAGGUGAAAAAAAGGGAAAACCUGAAACAAAAGAAUAAUGUAAUGACUUUUUGUAUUGUGUAUGUGUAUUUUUGUAGGACAUGAAAAUGUCUGUAGACUGGUGUGUGCACUGAGGAUGGAGAAGACCACAGCAUCAUCCUUGAAAUGAUCGAGAGUCACAGAUGAGACGCUCCCUCACUCCUCCUGCCCUUUACUGUCUCAUCAGGACCAGAUGCUGCUGUGAUGUCUUCAUCCUCAGUUCGAAUACCAGGGAACACAUGUUAGGUAAAAACUGUUAGUCUGAAUGCACUGUAAGUCGCUUUGGAUAAAUUUAUAAUUUAUUUAUAUAUUUUAACCACUUCAGUGGUUUAGUCCACUACAAAAGUAAUAAAUCAAUGCAUGUACUGUACUUGCACAUGAAAGUUUGGAGCAGACACAGCAGUCAGAUUGUCCUGCACGUGUUCUUCUGCUCUCGCUUCAAGGUUGUGUGGUUUAGAGAGCCGACAUCAUGGUCUUCCUCACAUCCUGUUGCUCAACGACAUCCCCAUUGAGAAGAGUGAGAUUGUGAAGUGCAGCAGCAGAACUGUAUCAGCUGUGUUCAGAUCGCAGGAGGAUGUUGGGUUCACCAUCUGUAAAUACUUGAUUGAUAGAACAAUAAGUUUGAAUGAAGCUUUGUUUCAUGUGUUGUUGACUUGUACAUGUAUGCAUUUAUUGUGAUGCUAACUUUUAUACAUUGUUUUAAUCAUUUAGACAUGUUUUUUGUUCUCAGUAAAUAAAAUAUAAAUAUUUUA